rnacentral:rRNA from 1 species
AUGCCGGUCCCGGUCCUGCAGACCCUAGGCAGAGGGUGGCAGCACGUAUCUGCAACUGCCUACUUGCGGGCCCUGGCGUUCGUGUCCAAAACAGCGAUCACCGAAGAGGCCGUACAGCGCCUUCGCGUCACGGGGCUCGAGGAGGCGCUCGGCGGGAUGUGCGUGGAGGAGGUGGUCGUGGCGGGCGUGAUGACCAACCUGUGCUGCGAGACCACCAUGCGGGACGCGUUUGUGAGGGGCUUCCGGGUGUUCUUCUCGGCCGACGCCACGGCCACGGCCAGCCGGGACCUGCACGAGGCGACCCUCGCCAACAUGGCCUAUGGGUUUGCCUACAUCGUCGACUGCAAGCGCAAAAUAACUACAUUGAUCCUUUUUCUUUUUUUUUCCUUUGGCUCUGGAUUUGGCCUUGCACAUACUGUUCAGAAAGGAAAACAGGAACACAAGGCCAGCACAGAUUUAUUUUAA